UACAGAGACUGCAAGCGUUAUUCGGAUUUACUGGGCGUAAAGGGCGCGUAGGCGGCCAGCACAAGUCAGUUGUGAAAUCUCCGAGCUUAACUCGGAAAGGUCAACUGAUACUGUGCGGCUAGAGUGCGGAAGGGGCAACUGGAAUUCUUGGUGUAGCGGUGAAAUGCGUAGAUAUCGAAGAGGAACACCUGCGGCGAAGGCGGGUUGCUGGGCCGACACUGACGCUGAGGCGCGGAAAGCCAGGGGAGCGAACGGG
rnacentral:rRNA from 1 species